CAAAACGUAGCUUAACACAAAGCAUCUGACCUACACUCAGAAGAUUCCUAUCAAUAGGACAUUUUGA
rnacentral:tRNA from 1 species